rnacentral:rRNA from 1 species
AUGAACGCUAGCUACAGGCUUAACACAUGCAAGUCGAGGGGCAGCAUGGUCUUAGCUUGCUAAGGCCGAUGGCGACCGGCGCACGGGUGAGUAACACGUAUCCAACCUGCCGUCUACUCUUGGACAGCCUUCUGAAAGGAAGAUUAAUACAAGAUGGCAUCAUGAGUCCGCAUGUUCACAUGAUUAAAGGUAUUCCGGUAGACGAUGGGGAUGCGUUCCAUUAGAUAGUAGGCGGGGUAACGGCCCACCUAGUCUUCGAUGGAUAGGGGUUCUGAGAGGAAGGUCCCCCACAUUGGAACUGAGACACGGUCCAAACCCCUACGGGAGGCAGCAGUGAGGAAUAUUGGUCAAUGGGCGCAGGCCUGAACCAGCCAAGUAGCGUGAAGGAUGACUGCCCUAUGGGUUGUAAACUUCUUUUAUAAAGGAAUAAAGUCGGGUAUGUAUACCCGUUUGCAUGUACUUUAUGAAUAAGGAUCGGCUAACUCCGUG